ACCCAGAUGACGAGUCCCAAGUUGGACGAAGCGCGCGUCCUAGAU
rnacentral:hammerhead_ribozyme from 1 species